UAAUGUUUUUUCAACUGGGGAAAAAUCUGUUAUGGGUUGUUCUUGAUUCUAAUGCUAUGUUUUUGGGCUGCGAUUCAAUUGUGAGAAAUAUCAGGGUUUUUCUUGAUUCUGACGCUGCGUUAUUGGUGCAGUUGUCUGGUUUUAUAUUGUUGAGAAAUUGCAUCACUUUACAAUAGUUUACACUAUUUGUAGUGAGGGUUUCUAGAGUGCAUCUGUACGCAAUCUUAAAUUAGUGCAAAAUGGAUUGCGAAGUUUUCAAUGUAAAUUUAGAGUGUUUUCUCUUGUUUGGUUGGUGUUGAAGGUGCAAGACUUCGCAAGUAAUUAAUUUUGUUACACGGUACUUCAUGGAAGGGAAACGUUUUCCUUUUUCCAUAUGCUUCUGUAUAUGAAUUCACAUUGUAUUAAUCUAUUCUUUGAAUAUACAGUACAUUUUCUGCAAAAACAUGUCAUCUUUUUGUAUAACCUAUUUGCUAUUUCCUUUGAAGCCCAAAUAAUGGUCACUAUUUAGCCUUCAGUGUCCGAGUUGAGGAGGUACUUCAUUCGUUGGCUUCUUACAAAUGAUGCCCCAUGCUAUUACUAAUCUCUUUCUACAUUGUGGCAAACAUAUAUAUAAAUCGUUUCUUGCUAGGUAGUCCACUGUUAUAUUUAUUUUUUGUAUGAAAAUGUCUUUAGGCCUUAUAGUUAGCUUAUAAUCAUUUGACAGAAAUAUUCUGUUGAUCCAUUUUUGAAAUCCAUUCACUCUUUUAAUUUGUAAGGCCUUAUCAGCUUCCAGAAAGCAUCUUGAUAUGUAGACAUAUGUUGAAAUCCAUUUAUUUUAUAUAUCAGAGAACCUUAAACCUAUAACAUGCUAAAACCCAGGUCUUCGAUGUGAAAACAGGAACUGCUAGACCACUGUUCCAGUCUACAGAUGUGUACCUAAAUGCUAUUUUUGACAAGUAUUUACUUUUCUUUGUCUACAUUAUUUUUAAAAGAAAGUGAGUAAUUCUUUAUAUGUGCUGACACUUUUUUGCUAAUUCUCAUCUUUGUUUGGGUGAAUGACUCAACUCUAUUGGUUUGUAUCAUCCCAUUAUCUCGUGGAGAUCCACCAAAGAAGCCUUUAGUUCCAUCUGGACCUAAGGGCUGAGACACAAGAUGGUGGUGAUGCUAAAGUUGAAGCCUCUGCAUGUGAUAUAAUUUAUUCGUAGCCUGCUGAGCCACAUGAAAAUGAGCAGCCAACAGUCUUGCAUAAACUUGAUCUUCAAUAUGGGGAUUUCGUGGUGUGAUAACACACUGGCAUUGGUCUAUGAAUCAUGGUACAAGACAAGGAGAGUUAAAACUUGGGUUAUAUCUCCUGAAUCCAAAGAUGUUAAUCCAAGGAUACUGCUUGAUCGGUCAUCUGAAGAUGUUUAUUUUGAUCUCGGUUCUCCCAUGAUGAUGCGGAGAACUCCAGCUGGGACUUGUGUGAUUGCAAAGAUGAAGAAGGAAGGUGAUGAAGGAACUUUUGUUUUACUAAAUGGAAGUGGUGCUACACUAGAAGGAAACAUCCCAUUUUUGGAUCUAUUUGACAUGUGGGUUUGGUGAUCAUUAUGUACUUGUUAGAUCAUGAAAACUUAGGAGAUGAUUAGAUUAUGUUUGUUAAUAUAUUUGGUACUGUUUAUAAUGAUCCAACAUUACACAAUGCUAUACUUUUGUUAUUGUUAUUGAGUUUGAAUUUUUUAAUAUAA